rnacentral:tRNA from 1 species
GCAGUCGUUAGCUGUUCGCACAGAGCUCUGCUCUCCGAAGACAGAGGCCGCUGGUUCAAAUCCAGCCGGGUGCAUCA